UCCAGACUCCUACGGGAGGCAGCAGUGGGGGAUAUUGCACAAUGGGGGGAACCCUGAUGCAGCGACGCCGCGUGGGUGAAGGAGCGUUUCGGCGCGUAAAGCCCUAUCGGCAGGGAAGAAGGAGGACGGUACCUGACUAAGAAGCCCCGGCUAACUACGUGCCAGCAGCCGCGGUAAUACGUAGGGGGCAAGCGUUAUCCGGAUUUACUGGGUGUAAAGGGGGCGCAGACGGCAGCGCAAGCCAGGAGUGAAAGCCCGGGGCCCAACCCCGGGACUGCUCUUGGAACUGCGCGGCUGGAGUGCAGGAGGGGCAGGCGGAAUUCCUGAUGUAGCGGUGAAAUGCGUAGAUAUCAGGAGGAACACCGGUGGCGAAGGCGGCCUGCUGGACUGCGACUGACGUUGAGGCCCGAAAGCGUGGGGAGCAAACAGGAUUAGAUACCCUGGUA
rnacentral:rRNA from 1 species